CUGGCGGCGUGGAUAAGACAUGCAAGUCGAACGCUGGCUGCCGGGUAGCAAUAUUCGGCAGUCGGAGUGGCGUAAGGGUGCGUAACACGUGGGUAAUUUGCCAUGAAGCCCGGAAUAACUCGCUGAAAGGCGAGCUAAUACCGGAUGUGACGCCUGGGAGGCAUCUCCCGGACUUUAAAGCUGGGGACCGCAAGGCCUGGCACUUCUUGAUAAGCCCGCGGCCUAUCAGCUAGUUGGUGAGGUAACGGCUCACCAAGGCUAAGACGGGUAGCUGGUCUGAGAGGACGACCAGCCUCACUGGAACUGAGAUACGGUCCAGACACCUACGGGUGGCAGCAGUCGAGAAUUUUUCACAAUGGGCGAAAGCCUGAUGGAGCGACGCCGCGUGGGGGAUGAAUGGCUUCGGCCCGUAAACCCCUGUCAUUUGCGAACAAACCUUGUCAUUUAACAGACGACAAGCUGAUUGUAGCGGAAGAGGAAGGGACGGCUAACUCUGUGCCAGCAGCCGCGGUAAUACAGAGGUCCCAAGCGUUGUUCGGAUUCACUGGGCGUAAAGGGUGCGUAGGCGGUUGGGUAAGUCUGUCGUGAAAUCUCCGAGCCUAACUCGGAAACUGCGUCGGAUACUAUUCAACUCGAGGAAUGGAGGGGAGACUGGAAUUCUCGGUGUAGCAGUGAAAUGCGUAGAUAUCGAGAGGAACACCAGUGGCGAAG
rnacentral:rRNA from 1 species